CAAUAGCGUAUAUUAAAGUUGUUGCGGUUAAAAAGCUCGUAGUUGGAGUUCUGCCAGGUGCCGCCUGUCCGCCCCAGUGGUGAGUACGUGGCGCGCAUUUGGCCCUUUCAAGGGGAGCGUAUCUGCACUUUAUUGUGUGGUGCGGGAUCCUUGACUUUUACUUUGAGGAAAUAGGAGUGUUCCAAGCAGGCUCUCGUCGUGCACAGCUCAGCAUGGAAUAAUAGCAUUGGACCUCGAUUCUAAGCUGUUGGUUGCCAGAAGCGAGGUAAUGAUGAAGAGGGAUAGUUGGGGGCAUUCGUAUUUAACUGUCAGAGGUGAAAUUCUUGGAUUUGUUAAAGACGGACUACUGCGACAGCAUCUGCCAUGGAUGUUUUCAUUGA
rnacentral:rRNA from 1 species